rnacentral:rRNA from 1 species
CAGCAGCCACGGUAAUACAGAGGGUGCGAGCGUUAAUCGGAUUUACUGGGCGUAAAGCGUGCGUAGGCGGCUUCUUAAGUCGGAUGUGAAAUCCCUGAGCUUAACUUAGGAAUUGCAUUCGAUACUGGGAAGCUAGAGUAUGGGAGAGGAUGGUAGAAUUCCAGGUGUAGCGGUGAAAUGCGUAGAGAUCUGGAGGAAUACCGAUGGCGAAGGCAGCCAUCUGGCCUAAUACUGACGCUGAGGUACGAAAGCAUGGGGAGCAAACAGGAUUAGAUACCCCAGUAGUCCCUGUCUCUUAUAC